rnacentral:rRNA from 1 species
AUUGAACGCUGGCGGCAGGCCUAACACAUGCAAGUCGAGCGAGCGGCGGACGGGGGAGUAAUGUCUGGGAAACUGCCCGAGGGAGGGGGAUAACUACUGGAAACGGUAGCUAAUACCGCAUACGAUCAGAUAUGCCCAGAGGGGAUUAGCUAGUAGGUGGGGGAACGGCUCACCUAGGCGACGAUCCCUAGCUGGUCUGAGAGGAUGACCAGCCACACUGGAACUGAGAAACGGUCCAGACUCCUACGGGAGGCCGCAGUGGGUAAUAUUGCACAAUGGGCGCAAGCCUGAUGCAGCCAUGCCGCGUGUGUGAAGAAGGCCUUCGGGUUGUAAAGCACUUUCAGCGGGGAGGCGUUACCCGCAGAAGAAGCACCGGCUAACUCCGUGCCAGCAGCCGCGGUAAUUC